rnacentral:siRNA from 1 species
UGGUAGCGGUUGUUAGCGAUU